rnacentral:piRNA from 1 species
UGCCUCUUGCAACGUGCCGAAGUGUCA